rnacentral:rRNA from 1 species
GACGAACGCUGGCGGCGUGCUUAACACAUGCAAGUCGAACGGAAAGGCCCUGCUUUUGUGGGGUGCUCGAGUGGCGAACGGGUGAGUAACACGUGAGUAACCUGCCCUUGACUUUGGGAUAACUUCAGGAAACUGGGGCUAAUACCGGAUAGGAGCUCCUGCUGCAUGGUGGGGGUUGGAAAGUUUCGGCGGUUGGGGAUGGACUCGCGGCUUAUCAGCUUGUUGGUGGGGUAGUGGCUUACCAAGGCUUUGACGGGUAGCCGGCCUGAGAGAGUGACCGGCCACAUUGGGACUGAGAUACGGCCCAGACUCCUACGGGAGGCAGCAGUGGGGAAUAUUGCACAAUGAGCGGAAGCCUGAUGCAGCAACGCCGCGUGCGGGAUGACGGCCUUCGGGUUGUAAACCGCUUUCGCCUGUGACGAAGCGUGAGUGACGGUAAUGGGUAAAGAAGCACCGGCUAACUACGUG